GUAGAGAAUCUUUCAAAGUCAAAUCCCGGCCUUCAGACUUUGACAAGUAUUGAUUUGACCCCUUCAAGCUGGAUGUGUGUGGCCUGGUACCCUAUUUGUCAAAUCCCGAAUAUUGGGAUACCUAUCAAGGACUUUGAGGCUGCUUUUCUGACAUUUCAUACCAUAUCCUCAUUCUACCAGGAUUUUCACCAAGAAGGUAUGAGCAGUUCUGGUGUUCAGAGCAGUCCAUCAAUAUCUCUACCACCAUUUGGGUGUGCAACCUAUAAGGUUCAAGGGGACAUCUGGUUUAAUCAUGGGCAUUCAGA